ensembl:lncRNA
GUUGGUGUUUCUGGGGUUUGUUUUCCUUUUUCGGCACAGGUAGGCGGGGGGCGGUGUUUGACGGCAUGCCGGCACACCUGCGGCGCAUCGGACGUCAUCAGUGGGAGCAUUUAGGGAGCUGAGUGAUGGACGUCUGAUGUCGGAUUAUUGUCGUUCCCAUAAGUGCCUGUCUCGCCGCCUGCUCGCCUGCCUGUUUCUUUGUGCGCUGGCCCAUUUUUGGAUCUGUGACAGAGACUUACCUGGCGCUGGCCUGCGAUCGUUGUUACUCCUGUAUCCUGGUGUUUCAAGUAGCUCUGGUUUGCGCAUCUAUCUGUCUGCGUACCUUGGCUCCCGUUCCGUUCCCCCUCGGCUCUGUUUAUUUGCACAUUUAUUUGGUUAUUGUAUAUAGCCCUGUCCCCUUGUAAAUAUUUC